GGGAGAGCCCUGGGCCUCUGGGAACAAAAUAAAGAACCCGGCUGUGAUGUUCUCCCAGAGAAGCAAGAACAAAGCCACUCCCUAGACCCAGGAUCCAACCAGGGGAUCUUCCUGAUCUCCUGCUGCCUCAGACACUUCCUUCUGCCAGGCUACCAACAGGACUCUUUUUUUCCUUCAGGCUCCAAAAAAACACGGAAGAAAGGGAGCAAGACUGGCCCUUCUCCAAAGCGCAGGAUGCUUUAAGCAGCUAGGAAACUCAAACAAAAAC